rnacentral:tRNA from 1 species
GGUCGGAUGGUCUAGUUGGUUAUGGCAUCUGCUUAACACGCAGAACGUCCCCAGUUCGAUCCUGGGUUCGAUCA